GUUUUGGAGCCAUGAUGUGCCACCUGCAGUUAACAGGCUGCUGCUUUGUCUCUUGGCUGAUGCCGUUGGGCCGAGGCCAAUGAUUGAGAAGCAGUUUGACCAAUGGCGUGCGUAAGGCGGGACUUAACAAGAAAGGUCAAAACAGUGCAGAAACGCACACCAAAAAUUGUCUACCAUAGAAAGCAAAAGGGGAAAUUUCCUGCGACAUUGUGAGGUCAUCAUACUGGUGCACCCUUGGCCUUGUCAGUGGGUGAGGUCACAUCACUAAACUGUCUGAAGAAGUAAGGUGUCAUGGACCAUCAUAAAAUGUGCAUUACAUAUUUAAUGAACAAAAACAUUUUUGAAGUAAAAAAACAAUAUUUUUUUUUAUGUACGAAACUCAAGAACAUAUAAAAAGAGUAACAUGAUCAUACAUGAUAAUGAAUAUAGAUAUGUGAUGUAUGAUAUAUAACCAUUUUCUCUCUUAUUUUUUAAAGGCAUCAACAUGGAGAUUGAAUUGGAGACCAUUGUUCUGUUCGAAUUGUAGUUUGUGGAAGAUGCAAUGAUGAAAUUAAUUUGAAUUGUCAAUGUUGUAUUUUAAGCAUAUAAGCGAUGUUCAGAUGAUGGUACUGUAGCACUGUUUAAAGUUUUUAAUAUUGUUGUUAUUUACAAUGGAAACUACUGUAACAGAAGAAAAUAA